GGGAAUAUUGCACAAUGGGGGGAACCCUGAUGCAGCGACGCCGCGUGGGUGAAGGAGCACCUCGGUGCGUAAAGCCCUAUCGGCAGGGAAGAAACAGACGGUACCUGACUAAGAAGCCCCGGCUAACUACGUGCCAGCCGCCGCGGUAAUACGUAGGGGGCAAGCGUUAUCCGGAUUCACUGGGUGUAAAGGGAGCGUAGACGGUGAUGCAAGUCAGAAGUGAAAGCCCGGGGCUCAACUCCGGGACUGCUUUUGAAACUGUGUGACUGGAGUGCAGGAGAGGUAAGCGGAAUUCCUGGUGUAGCGGUGAAAUGCGUAGAUAUCAGGAGGAACACCAGUGGCGAAGGCGGCUUACUGGACUGUAACUGACGUUGAGGCUCGAAAGCGUGGGGAGCAAACAGG
rnacentral:rRNA from 1 species